GCAGUCGAGCGGACCGAAAGGGAGCUUGCUCCUUUAGGUUAGCGGCGGACGGGUGAGUAACACGUGGGCAACCUGCCCUGCAGACUGGGAUAACUUCGGGAAACCGGAGCUAAUACCGGAUAACACCGAAAACCGCAGUGGUUUUCGGUUGAAAGGCGGCUUUUAGCUGUCACUGCAGGAUGGGCCCGCGGCGCAUUAGCUAGUUGGUGAGGUAACGGCUCACCAAGGCGACGAUGCGUAGCCGACCUGAGAGGGUGACCGGCCACACUGGGACUGAGACACGGCCCAGACUCCUACGGGAGGCAGCAGUAGGGAAUCUUCCGCAAUGGACGAAAGUCUGACGGAGCAACGCCGCGUGAGCGAAGAAGGUCUUCGGAUCGUAAAGCUCUGUUGUCAGGGAAGAACAAGUACCGUUCGAACAGGGCGGUACCUUGACGGUACCUGACGAGGAAGCCACGGCUAACUACGUGCCAGCAGCCGCGGUAAUACGUAGGUGGCAAGCGUUGUCCGGAAUUAUUGGGCGUAAAGCGCGCGCAGGCGGUUCCUUAAGUCUGAUGUGAAAUCUCGCGGCUCAACCGCGAGCGGCCAUUGGAAACUGGGGAACUUGAGUGCAGGAGAGGGGA
rnacentral:rRNA from 1 species